AUUGAACGCUGGCGGCAGGCCUAACACAUGCAAGUCGAACGAGUGGCGGACGGGUGAGUAAUGUCUGGGAAACUGCCUGAUGGAGGGGGAUAACUACUGGAAACGGUAGCUAAUACCGCAUACCAUCGGAUGUGCCCAGAUGGGAUUAGCUAGUAGGUGGGGUAAAGGCUCACCUAGGCGACGCUCCCUAGCUGGUCUGAGAGGAUGACCAGCAAAACGGGAACUGAGAAAUGGUCCAGACGCCUACGGGAGGCAGCAGUGGGGAAUAGUGCACAAGGGGGAAAAGCGUGAUGCAGCCAUGCCGCGUGUAUGAAGAAGGCAAUCGGGUUGUAAAGCACUGUCAGCGAGGAGGCGUUACUCGCAGAAGAAGCACCGGCUAACUCCGUGCCAGCAGCCGCGGUAAUUC
rnacentral:rRNA from 1 species